rnacentral:tRNA from 2 species
CAGAAAAUAGUUUAUAUAAAAUAUUAAUUUUGGAGAUUAGUGAUAGAAUUUAAAUUCUUUUUUUGA